GACAGAGGGUGCAAACGUUGCUCGGAAUCACUGGGCGUAAAGGGCGCGUAGGCGGCCUCUUAAGUCGAACGUGAAAUCCCCGGGCUCAACCCGGGAACUGCGUCCGAUACUGGGGGGCUUGAAUCCGGGAGAGGGAUGUGGAAUUCCAGGUGUAGCGGUGAAAUGCGUAGAUAUCUGGAGGAACACCGGUGGCGAAGGCGGCAUCCUGGACCGGUAAUUGACGCUGAGGCGCGAAAGCUAGGGGAGCAAACGGG
rnacentral:rRNA from 1 species